AAUUCAAAAAAUAUAUUCUCGAACAAACAUACAAAACAACAAAAUAACUUUCAAUUCUUUCCUUCACAGAAUAGUUAUUUUUAGAGGAGGACACUUGACUAGCCGGGACCAACAACCGCUCCAGUUUCUGCGCUCCACUUGACAGUCGUUCUACGGAUACACUACAUUCACAAAACACCCCUUUUGUGUGACUUGUCGCCUACACUAGUCAUCACUUUGAGUGCACGAGUUUAACUUUCUUGUGUCUUGUCCCCGCCAUCCAUCCUACCGAUUUGCCGUGACAGCAGAUGCAUCGCGGACUGUCUUUACGACACCCGGGCCACCGACUCCUCACAACAUCUCGGCGGACAGACAACCAAACCAAAACACGAAAGCGACUAUCUACAAACAAACAGAUUUAUUCGAUAUCACAACCACCAGGCAAUGUGUCCGUCGCAAACUACCAGUUCCUUCGUGGAACAGCAGUGACUUACGUUCACUAGCGACAUCGAACUGUGGCGAAACGCAACAUGGAACUCCGUUGGCCACUCCGCGCCAUUAAGGGUCAGCUUUGCGCUCCCCUUAAGCCUGCAGCAGCGAGUUCUGCCGGGACAGCUAAACUGCAUUUCGCGAGCCGUCGUCUUCUCUACAAAAAAUUUUAUUUAUAUUUAUUUCUCCCAUGCAUUCCCCUCUACACGUCCAGGAGUCAUUUGUUAGAAUGACACCUGGAGUUGCGUCAGUCCAAAUGCAUUGGAACAAUAAAUUAUUGGGCGCCAUUUGUUACAUUCGGCUUGCGGCUCGUGGGGCAACGCCGGCUAGCUCUCGACCCCAGGGAUGGGUAGUUCCCCUUGCCCGCCAAAUGUAAGCAAAGUUUGAGAUUUCGACUUCUCGGGACAUCAAUUCAGACAUAAAAAAACUACAAUAGACUGCAAGACAAACAAAAAGAACCAAACAAAUAGACGGCUGUCAAGUGGGUGAAGUCUAGGUGUUUCCACUUCGCGCGCCCACCCUACCUAUGGUCAAAUACAACGUUCAUUUUGGCCACCCUCUGCUGGAACGGCCGCGGCUGGUCUAAUCCAUGGCUUACGCCACGCGUCCUCCCUCUAAAUUAAUUUAGGCCUUCAUCCUUUCAAUAUUCCUUAGUUUAAUAUAUAAUAUAAUACGACAAAUA